UUCUCCAACAAUCCCCCACAAAAUUCAAAAUUACAAAAAAAUUAAACAAACAAAUAAAUAAAUCAUCGGGUGUUUAUACUAUGCAAUAGGCGAGGUGUCUUUAAGAGACUUAACCCCACUUAGUGUAAAUAGUUUCCAUCAGAAGGAAUCGGAGUGAACCAGAUCUUGAACUACGUUCCAUUGACCCCGACUUCAACUACUACACAUACAGUACAGAAUUCUCCGUCGCGGGUCUGUGCGUUAAUGGCCAUGCACAGUAUCUUGAUUUUUCAUAAGAGUUUUUAUGGAUAGCCCAUUCACAUAGCCGCGGCCAUAUACGGAUACUCUUAUAUAGGUGGUUUCCUCCAGGGAUAUAUGUAGAGUCACAUCUUGCGAAAAUUACCGCCUUGGAUCCCAUUAAGAGCUCUAAGCUCAACCUAAUCCACUACACAGAGCACCACUCACCAUAGGGAUGGGAUUGGAGCUAAAGCUCCUAUAAAUAAACUGUAGAAAGUGCUCUUUGGCCAACCUAGCAGCUUGUUUUUACUACGUUGAACCUUCUUUAAGGGAUCUCCUAUUACAAAGGUUGGGUUCCCACUACAGGAAGGCCCUUUAUGGGCAAAGUUUCAUCCUCCUCGAUGACUCUAGGACCUUAGUCCUAUUCAGACCUUUCGUCAAGCAAUCUGCAAGAUUCUGAUCAGAUCUGAUAAAACUCAAAUAAAUAACAUUAUGAAAAAUAACUAUCUAAUAAAUUUAUGUCAAUAUAAUUUAUUUGCCAACUUUAGAAUUU
rnacentral:lncRNA from 1 species